CUGCGGCAGGCCUAACACAUGCAAGUCGAGCGGUAACAGAGAUAGCUUGCUAUCUGCUGACGAGCGGCGGACGGGUGAGUAAUGCUUGGGAAUAUGCCUUUUGGUGGGGGACAACAGUUGGAAACGACUGCUAAUACCGCAUAACGUCUACGGACCAAAGUGGGGGACCUUCGGGCCUCACGCCAAGAGAUUAGCCCAAGUGGGAUUAGCUAGUUGGUAAGGUAAUGGCUUACCAAGGCAACGAUCCCUAGCUGGUUUGAGAGGAUGAUCAGCCACACUGGAACUGAGACACGGUCCAGACUCCUACGGGAGGCAGCAGUGGGGAAUAUUGCACAAUGGGCGCAAGCCUGAUGCAGCCAUGCCGCGUGUGUGAAGAAGGCCUUCGGGUUGUAAAGCACUUUCAGUCAGGAGGAAAGGUUAGUAGUUAAUAGCUGCUAGCUGUGACGUUACUGACAGAAGAAGCACCGGCUAACUCCGUGCCAGCAGCCGCGGUAAUACGGAGGGUGCGAGCGUUAAUCGGAAUUACUGGGCGUAAAGCGUACGCAGGCGGUUUGUUAAGCGAGAUGUGAAAGCCCCGGGCUCAACCUGGGAACUGCAUUUCGAACUGGCARACUAAAGUGUGAUAGA
rnacentral:rRNA from 1 species